GACCCCGCCUCACGGCGAAAAAUAAACUAAAAACGGAGGUGUCAGUAGACCGGGUACAUAAUCCGGGCCGACCGCAACGACGUUCAAGAAAAAGCAGACAA
rnacentral:ncRNA from 1 species